CCACCGGCCCUCAGUGACUCACUGUAGCCUCUCACUCCCGUCCUGUUUCCUGCCCCCUGUCAGGAGCCCCGGGCACCCACGGUCACCCAGGCUUGUUCCCACACGUGUCAAAUGAGACCCUGACGCUUGUGAGUUUGUUCUUAGCUUUGUCAUCAUGAUGUAUAACACAUUCAGAAAGGCACACGAGACACCAAAGUCAAGCCCAAAAGAUCACCACAGAGACAAUAGCCUUGUAGAUUCCAAGUCAGGUAGGGUGGUGCAUGUCUAUCAUCCCAGCACUCUGGGAGGCUGAGGCAGGAGGAUACCAAAGUCAAGGCCAGCCUGGGGAACUUAGUGAGACCCUGUCUCAAAACGAAAAAAUGAAAACUUUAAAAAGGGCUGAAGAGGUAGCUUAGCACAAAGGCCCUGGAUUCAACCUCCAGCACUGAAAAGAAAAUUCCACUCAGACCAAGAAGGAACAUAAAGACCCCCAGAAGUCCCCGUGCCCUUCAGCCACCUCUUUCUCCCCAGUGAAGGCAUCGCUUAUGACACACAUAAGCGUGCAGCAUCUCUUUUCCCUUUUCGCUGCCAUGUACUGUUCCUUCGUAGGAGGCUGCCAGGGUUUAUCUAUCCACUUCCCAAGUAUGGGAUGUAGAAUCAUUUUUGCACCUGAUGAGACUCAGCAGAAGUCUUGCCCCUGUAUCCAGUGGAUGAGGGGAGGGGACCUGGAUGCUGUGGGCCAGAGGUCCGAGGCACAGUGACCUUCUACCUGAGAGCCACUUGGGAAAGGGUCACACACCCCAAACUCCGAGGCUACGGGGCGUGUCUGCCUCUACCAACUUCAGUCCUGUGACUCAGCAGAGGUCCCCAGGACACACGUGCCUGCUCUCCCACCCGCUGCCUCCCUCCUCCUGCCUUAGUGUCCCUGGGUUGUUGGUUUGUUUGUUGACACAGGAUCUCAUUGUGUAUCCCAGGCUGGCCUCGAACUCACUUUGAUCUUCCUGCCUCAGCCUCCCAAGUAUUGGGAUCACAGGUGUGCGCCAUGCCCCAUUCACCCGUAUUUUUUUCGAUCAUGGGAGACAGCUGACAUUUGACAUCUGCACUUCCUGGCCGAGUCGACCUGGACACUGUUGAUACUGCCUGGGCGUCAGGUUGGCCCUGGGUGACCGGGAGGGAUGUCGCCCCACCAGGCUGCGAGGGCACCCACGCUCUCACUGAGUCGCUGAGUUGUCCAGGUUGGGCUCUAUCAGUGCCAUCCGCCUGCCUCAGCCUCCCAGAGUGCUGGCAUCACAGGCAUGGGCACCAUCACACCUGGCUCUGUUCUGCCCACUUUACAGAUGAGAAACUGAGGCCCAGGAGAGCAGGGCUCUGAUACCAUAACGCAGCCCACACAGGCAACCCUGUCUUCAGCCUGACAAACUCCCCUCAUAGGGGACACCCUUGUCGUCUGCCCCCUCCCCACACCCCAGCGCCUGACUCCACGCUCCCAGCGCCCCAUCUGCAGAGCGCCCUCUGCUGGGCGUGCGCGGUCCUACGCCUCCCAGGGGCUGCGCCAUCCCGCGGGCUGCACCCACUGCGCCUGCGCCUUGCGCCCUCCAUACUUGGGAGCCGCAGUUGCCCGGGGCUCCAUCCUCCCACACUGGGACCCAGGAGUCCCUCCCUCCACCCUGCACUUGCGGACAGCCCUCCGCUAGUCCAUCUGCCCCACCCAGCUCAGACAGGCUCAUUUAUUGCGCACCUACUGUGUACCCUACACCACUCAGCCCAGGAAGCAGGGCAAACACAGACCCUGCCCUGGAGUUUGGGGUGCAGAAAAAACGAGCAAAUGCCUCGGACAGAGACCUCCGCCCGGGACCAGAUGUCCAUCCAGCCAGACCCUUACCCAGGACAGGGGCUGAUGUGUGGGAGGAAGGAGACGAGGCAGGAAGGCCAGAGGAGGCCUGAGUGGCUCAGUGCACAACUCGGGCACCCGUGCCAGUCAUAUCCCGGCCAUGAGGGAUGUCCCUGUUGAAGAGGGAGGCACAAGUCCCUCAGGUCGAGGAAGAAAUAUGAGAAGUCAUCAUAAAAACUGUGGGUGCGAAAAAUAACCAUGUUUUUAAAUUUUGAAUGUAAAAUAUUAAGGCAAAAAAACCCUCAGUAUGCUUACUAGACUUUUGUCAUCAGUUCAUUACAUUCAAAAUGUAUAGAAACAAUUUAUCUCAAUAGUGUUGAGAUGAGCAAUUCACUUCAUCAUUUUCCUACCACAGUUAAAUUUUUAAUAAAGAUUUCUUAACAGUUUAUUUUCUUAAAAGCCCCAAUAGAACACAGUGGGAUAUUUUCAUUUCUGGUAACGGUUACCAAUCAAGACUGAGAGUUCCCCAAAAGAGGCCAAGUCGCAGAAUAAAAGAGAGGGAAGAGAGCCCAAGGAGGUGGCCAUACUCCCUGGGCCAGGAUGGUGUAUGCCUGUGAUUCCAGCACUCAGGAGGAAGGCUGAGGCAGGAGGAUUGCCUCGAGUUCCAAACCAGCCUGGACUACAUAGCGAGACUUUGUCUCAAAAAAGAGCAAAAGAAGGAGCCCUGUGUCCCUGUCUGUGUCCUGUGCCCUGGCUCGGAGCUGGGCCCUGGGACUUGCAGGCAGGGGAGCUGCCUGGCUGUCACCUGAGGCCCCAGCCUACUUCUGCCACUCACAGAAUGUCAACAUCUGUGUCAGGAGGGGACAGGGCUAAUCUGCUCCCAGACCCCAUUCCCACCCGCCUGGCCAUGGCCAUGUGACCGCCCUGACCCCCACCCAGGCCUAGGGUGUUUCCGGCUGCAGCCAGUGCGGCCCCAUCCCCAGCCUGCUCACUGCUGCUUCAGAGCCAGGGCUGAACCUCCUGUCCCAGCGUGACACCUGAGCACAG
ensembl:lncRNA